rnacentral:rRNA from 1 species
GGUUAAGCGACUAAGCGUACACGGUGGAUGCCUAGGCAGUCAGAGGCGAUGAAGGGCGUGCUAAUCUGCGAAAAGCGUCGGUAAGCUGAUAUGAAGCGUAAUAACCGACGAUACCCGAAUGGGGAAACCCAGUGCAAUUCGUUGCACUAUUGCAUGGUGAAUACAUAGCCAUGCAAGGCGAACCGGGGGAACUGAAACAUCUAAGUACCCCGAGGAAAAGAAAUCAACCGAGAUUCCCCCAGUAGCGGCGAGCGAACGGGGAAGAGCCCAGAGUCUGAAUCAGUUGGUGUGUUAGUGGAAGCGUCUGGAAAGUCGCACGGUACAGGGUGAUAGUCCCGUACACAAAAACACACUGGCUGUGAACUCGAUGAGUAGGGCGGGACACGUGACAUCCUGUCUGAAUAUGGGGGGACCAUCCUCCAAGGCUAAAUACUCCUGACUGACCGAUAGUGAACCAGUACCGUGAGGGAAAGGCGAAAAGAACCCCGGCGAGGGGAGUGAAAUAGAACCUGAAACCGUGUACGUACAAGCAGUGGGAGCACCUUCGUGGUGUGACUGCGUACCUUUUGUAUAAUGGGUCAGCGACUUAUAUUUUGUAGCAAGGUUAACCGAAUAGGGGAGCCGUAGGGAAACCGAGUCUUAACUGGGCGUCUAGUUGCAAGGUAUAGACCCGAAACCCGGUGAUCUAGCCAUGGGCAGGUUGAAGGUUGGGUAACACUAACUGGAGGACCGAACCGACUAAUGUUGAAAAAUUAGCGGAUGACUUGUGGCUGGGGGUGAAAGGCCAAUCAAACCGGGAGAUAGCUGGUUCUCCCCGAAAGCUAUUUAGGUAGCGCCUCGUGAACUCAUCUUCGGGGGUAGAGCACUGUUUCGGCUAGGGGUCCAUCCCGGAUUACCAAACCGAUGCAAACUCCGAAUACCGAAGAAUGUUAUCACGGGAGACACACGGCGGGUGCUAACGUCCGUCGUGAAGAGGGAAACAACCCAGACCGCCAGCUAAGGUCCCAAAGUCAUGGUUAAGUGGGAAACGAUGUGGGAAGGCAUAGACAGCCAGGAUGUUGGCUUAGAAGCAGCCAUCAUUUAAAGAAAGCGUAAUAGCUCACUGGUCGAGUCGGCCUGCGCGGAAGAUGUAACGGGGCUAAACCAUGCACCGAAGCUGCGGCAGCGAACGUAUCACUUAAAACGCUUAACGUUGCGAAGCGACGUUCAAGCCACUAAAACGUUGAGUUGGCCUGAGAGCUGACAGAUGGAAAGGCGUUUUAAGGAUACGUUCGUUGGGUAGGGGAGCGUUCUGUAAGCCGUUGAAGGUGGCCUGUGAGGGCUGCUGGAGGUAUCAGAAGUGCGAAUGCUGACAUAAGUAACGAUAAUGCGGGUGAAAAACCCGCACGCCGGAAGACCAAGGGUUCCUGUCCAACGUUAAUCGGGGCAGGGUGAGUCGACCCCUAAGGCGAGGCUGAAAAGCGUAGUCGAUGGGAAACAGGUUAAUAUUCCUGUACUGGGUGUGACUGCGAAGGGGGGACGGAGAAGGCUAGGCUAGCCGGGCGACGGUUGUCCCGGUUUAAGCAUGUAGGCGGAGCGACUUGGUAAAUCCGGUUGCUUAUCAACGCUGAGGUGUGAUGACGAGCCACUACGGUGGUGAAGUAGUUGAUGCCAAGCUUCCAGGAAAAGCCUCUAAGCAUCAGGUGACAUUCAAUCGUACCCCAAACCGACACAGGUGGUCAGGUAGAGAAUACUCAGGCGCUUGAGAGAACUCGGGUGAAGGAACUAGGCAAAAUGGUGCCGUAACUUCGGGAGAAGGCACGCUGGCAUUAGGUAAAGAGACUUGCUCUCGGCGCCGAAGCCAGUCGCAGAUACCAGCUGGCUGCAACUGUUUAAUAAAAACACAGCACUGUGCAAACACGAAAGUGGACGUAUACGGUGUGACGCCUGCCCGGUGCUGGAAGGUUAAUUGAUGGGGUCAGCCGCAAGGCGAAGCUCUUGAUCGAAGCCCCAGUAAACGGCGGCCGUAACUAUAACGGUCCUAAGGUAGCGAAAUUCCUUGUCGGGUAAGUUCCGACCUGCACGAAUGGCGUAAUGAUGGCCAGGCUGUCUCCACCCGAGACUCAGUGAAAUUGAACUCGCUGUGAAGAUGCAGUGUACCCGCGGCAAGACGGAAAGACCCCGUGAACCUUUACUAUAGCUUGACACUGAAUAUUGAGCCUUGAUGUGUAGGAUAGGUGGGAGGCAUCGAAGCGUGGACGCCAGUCUGCGUGGAGCCAACCUUGAAAUACCACCCUUUAAUGUUUGAUGUUCUAACUCGGCCCCAUAAUCUGGGGUGAGGACAGUGUCUGGUGGGUAGUUUGACUGGGGCGGUCUCCUCCCAAAGAGUAACGGAGGAGCACGAAGGUUAGCUAAUCACGGUCGGACAUCGUGAGGUUAGUGCAAAGGCAUAAGCUAGCUUGACUGCGAGAGUGACGGCUCGAGCAGGUACGAAAGUAGGUCUUAGUGAUCCGGUGGUUCUGAAUGGAAGGGCCAUCGCUCAACGGAUAAAAGGUACUCCGGGGAUAACAGGCUGAUACCGCCCAAGAGUUCAUAUCGACGGCGGUGUUUGGCACCUCGAUGUCGGCUCAUCACAUCCUGGGGCUGAAGUAGGUCCCAAGGGUAUGGCUGUUCGCCAUUUAAAGUGGUACGCGAGCUGGGUUUAGAACGUCGUGAGACAGUUCGGUCCCUAUCUGCCGUGGGCGUUGGAAGAUUGAGAGGGGCUGCUCCUAGUACGAGAGGACCGGAGUGGACGCAUCACUGGUGUUCGGGUUGUCAUGCCAAUGGCAUUGCCCGGUAGCUAAAUGCGGAAAAGAUAAGCGCUGAAAGCAUCUAAGCGCGAAACUUGCCUCGAGAUGAGUCUUCCCUGGGGCUUUAAGCCCCCUGAAGGAACGUUAAAGACUAUGACGUUGAUAGGCUGGGUGUGUAAGUGCAGCGAUGCAUUGAGCUAACCAGUACUAAUGAUCCGUGAGGCUUAACCUU